rnacentral:rRNA from 1 species
GACGAACGCUGGCGGCGUGCUUAACACAUGCAAGUCGAACGCUGAAGCUCAGCUUUUGUUGGGUGGAUGAGUGGCGAACGGGUGAGUAACACGUGAGUAACCUGCCUCCUUCUUUGGGAUAACGCCCGGAAACGGGUGCUAAUACUGGAUAUUCACUGGUCUUCGCAUGGGGGUUGGUGGACAUGGUUUUUCUGGUGGGGGAUGGGCUCGCGGUCUAUCAGCUUGUUGGUGGGGUGAUGGCCUACCAAGGCUUUGGCGGGUAGCCGGCCUGAGAGGGUGACAGGUGAAAUGGGUAAUGAGAUACGGCCCAGAGUGCGACAGGAGGCAGCAGUGGGGAAUAUUGGGCAAUGGGCGGAAGCCUGAUGCAGCGACGCCGCGUGAGGGAUGGAGGCCUUCGGGGUGUGAACCUCUUGCGAGAAUGGUCAAGCCGCAACAAUGGGUGUGGUGAGGGUAGUGGGUAAAGAAGCGCCGGCUAACUACGGG